UCAAAUGAAUUAAGGCUUACGGCGGAGACCUAGGCACCCAGAGACGAUGAAGGGCGCAGAUACCGGCGAUACGCUUCGGGGAGCUGGUAACAAGCUUUGAUCCGAAGAUCCCCGAAUAGGGCAACCUCAAGAACUUCCUAUGAAUUCAUAAGUAGGAUAGAGACAACCCGGCGAAUUGAAACAUCUUAGUAGCUGGAGGAAAAGAAAGCAAAAGCGAUUCCCGUAGUAGCGGCGAGCGAACCGGGAACAGCCUAAACCUGUAAAAAGGGGUAGUGGGAAGACUAGAAUUUUUAAUGCUCGAUCAAGGAAAUAACAGUUGAUCGAGAGCAACGGAAAUGUGGAAGACGAAGCAGCUGAAUCCUGCACCAUAGACGGUGAAAGUCCCGUAGUUACAAACAUUUUCUCUCUCGCUUAUACCCUAUAAACCCCCUCACCCCCUUUAUAUCCCCCUUAUAUCCCCCUUUAUAUCCCCCUUAUAUCCCCCUUCUGGGGAUAUAAGGGGGUGAAGGGGGAUAUAAGGGGGUGAAGGGGGAUAUAAGGGAGGUGUAACAAAAAGGGUAAACAGCUUACCCCCUUUUUGGGGGGGUAUAUAGAGAUAUUAAAAAAGUCAUAUCCCGAGUAGCAUGGGACACGUGGAAUCCCGUGUGAAUCAGCGAGGACCACCUCGUAAGGCUAAAUACUCCUGGGUGAUCGAUAGUGUAAAGUACCGCGAGGGAAUGGUGAUAAGAACCCCUGUAGGGGAGUGAAAUAGAACAUGAAACCGUAAGCUGACAAGCAGUGGGAGGAGUAGCUUUGCUACCUGACCGCGUGCCUGUUGAAGAAUGAGCCAGCGACUUAUAGGGAGUGGCAAGGUUAAGGAGUUAAAUCCGGAGCCUUAGCGAAAGCGAGUCUUAAUAGGGCGUACGAGUCACUUCUUAUGGACCCGAACCCGGGUGAUCUAAUCAUGACCAGGUUGAAGCUUGGGUAACACCACGUGGAGGACCGAACCGACCGAUGUUGAAAAAUCGGCGGAUGAGUUGUGAUUAGCGGAGAAAUUCCAAUCGAACUCGGAGCUAGCUGGAUCUCCCCGAAAUGCGUUGAGGCGCAGCGGUGACUAAGAGCUAUCUAGGGGUAAAGCUACUGUUUCGAUGCGGGCUGCGAAAGCGGUACCAAGUCGUGGCAAACUCAGAAUACUAGAUAAUGCCUUCAGUCAACCAGUGAGAUUUAUCGGGAUAAGCUGAUAAAUCAAGAGGGAAACAGCCCAGAUCACCAGCUAAGGCCCCUAAAUGGUAACUAAGUGGAGAAGGAUGUGAUAUUGCUGAAACAACCAGGAGGUUCGCUUAGAAGCAGCUACCCUUGAAAGAGUGCGUAAUAGCUCACUGGUAAAGCGAUGUUGCGCCGACAAUGGCCGGGACUAAGUUACCUGCCGAAGCUGUGAUAUUUGAUUUUUAAGAUGAAAUUCUUAAAAAAAGCAAAUAGGUAGGGGAGCGUUCCAUUUGCGGGUGAAGCUUUCACGGAAGUGGGGGUGGACGUAAUGGAAGUGAGAAUGUUGGCUUGAGUAACGAAAACAUUGGUGAGAAUCCAAUGCCCCGAAAACCUAAGGGUUCCUCCACUAGGCUCGUCCAUGGGGGGUUAGUCAGGUCCUAAGGCUAGUUAAAUUUAUUUAAGUCGUCGAUGGAAAACAGGUUAAUAUUCCUGUACUGGUUUGAUUGGGAACCGAGGGACGGAGAAGACUAAACUGGAACUGCUACUGGAUUUCAGUGGAAGCAUUUAGGUGUUGAAAGCUAGAAUAAAAACUAUGCUUGAGCUAAGAUGUGAUCCCUCUAUUAUGUUUAACAUGAUGGAGUCAGUGAUGUCAUACUUCCAAGAAAAGCUCGAACACUUUUAACAAUCAAAUCACCUGUACCUGAAACCGACACAGGUAGGUUGGUAGAGAAUACCAAGGGGCGCGAGAGAACUCUCUCUAAGGAACUCGGCAAACUGGCCCCGUAACUUCGGAAGAAGGGGCGCCCUCUAUUUUCGUUAAAAAUUAUAGAGGGUCGCAGUGACCAGGCUCUGGUAACUGUUUAUCAAAAACACAGGUUUCCGCAAAGUCGUAAGACGAUAUAUGGGAGCUGACGCCUGCCCAGUGCCGGAAGGUUAAGGAAGUUGGUUAUUAAGUAAUUAAGAAGCUGACGACCGAAGCCCCGGUGAACGGCGGCCGUAACUAUAACGGUCCUAAGGUAGCGAAAUUCAUUGCCAAGUAAGUUUUGGCCCGCACGAAUGGCGUAAUAAUCAGAGCACUGUCUCGGAGAGAGACUCGGUGAAAUAGACUUGUCCCGUGAAGAUGCGGACUACCUAAACCUGGACAGAAAGACCCUAUGAAGCUUGACUGUAUCCUGGAAUUGGGUUCGGGCUUUUCUUGCGCAGCCUAGGUGGGAGGCUAUGAAGGUUACCUUCCGGGGUAAUCUGAGCCAACAGUGAGAGACCACUCUGGGAAGGCUAGAAUCCUAAUGAUGAUCUUUGAAUCAAGACAUCUGACAGUUUCAGGUGGGCAGUUUAUCUGGGGCGGAUGCCUCAUAAAGUGUAACUGAGGCGUGCAAAGGUUCUCUCAGUCUGGACGGAAAUCAGACAUUGAGUGUAAAGGCAAAAGAGAGCUUGACUGUAAGACCAACAAGUCGAGCAGGGGCGAAAGCCGGCCUUAGUGAUCCGACGGUGCCGCGUGGAAGGGCCGUCGCUCAACGGAUAAAAGUUACUCUAGGGAUAACAGGCUGAUCUUCCCCAAGAGUUCACAUCGACGGGAAGGUUUGGCACCUCGAUGUCGGUUCAUCACAUCCUGGAGCGGCAGUACGUUCCAAGGGUUGGGCUGUUCGCCCAUUAAAGUGGUACGUGAGCUGGGUUCAGAACGUCGUGAGACAGUUUGGUCCAUAUCCGGUUUAGGCGUUAGAGCAUUGAGAGGAGCCUUCUCUAGUACGAGAGGAUUGUAGAAAGGUGAGCCUAUAGUGUACCAGUUAUUCUUCCAAGAGUAAACGCUGGGUAGCCAUGCUCAUAGGAAUAACUGCUGAAAGCAUCUAAGUAGGAAAUCCACCUCAAGAUGAUUGCUCUCCAUUAGAUCGCGGCUAGACAAGCCGUUUAAUAGGCAUCAGGUGUACAAUCAGUAAUGGUUUUAGCCAAGAUGUACUAAAGAUCGAUUGAUUUUGACCUU
rnacentral:rRNA from 1 species